rnacentral:rRNA from 1 species
UACGUAGGGUGCAAGCGUUUGUUCGGAAUUACUGGGCGUAAAGGGCUCGUAGGUGGCCAACUAAGUCAGACGUGAAAUCCCUCGGCUUAACCGGGGAACUGCGUCUGAUACUGGAUGGCUUGAGUUCGGGAGAGGGAUGCGGAAUUCCAGGUGUAGCGGUGAAAUGCGUAGAUAUCUGGAGGAACACCGGUGGCGAAGGCGGCAUCCUGGACCGAUACUGACGCUGAGGAGCGAAAGCCAGGGGAGCAAACGGG